rnacentral:misc_RNA from 1 species
GUUUUCGCGUUGUCGUUGUGCGCUUCAGCCGCCACGAAGACGGGGGGUUGGGUGCCGGGAGGGCGCGCGCGCGCACGCGCACGCGCGCCCUCCCAAGCAGCAGACGCGGUCCGCAAACGGUGUGUUAUCAAUGAGAUUCGGUAAUGAUCCUUCCGCAGGUUCACCUACGGAAA